rnacentral:lncRNA from 1 species
AUUGACAGGCCGGAGGUGGGGCCCGAGUUCCUGUCUCCAGCCCACGAUUUGCCGAUCCAUCUGUCUUCCUCAGAGAGAGAGGGCGGAUAAUGCAGACUGCGCUUCCUUGGAAGACGGCAGGCUCCAGGCCAGACAAACGAAUGUAUCAACCAUACAGAUGAAGAGCUGAGGCUCAGGGAAGGAAUUUGCCAAGGUCACGAAGCUGUAAGACACAGAACCUGGGGUGUCUGCCUGUAGAGCUCACACUGACUCUACAGCCACUGAUCCAAAGCUUCAAUGAGCAAGAGAUGAAGUGACCCCUCCAACCCCACAGCUCAGCGUCUUUCUUGAAGCUCCAACUCCAGGGCCAUUGUUUUCCUGUUCUCCCCGCUCCAAGGCCUCUCCUCUCUCCUUGGCCCAACUCUCUGACAGUGAUGCAGGUUCUGGGCAGGACGUGUCUUUUGGGGGCCAUUCACCCCCAGGCUUCGUGGUGAAUGACUGACUAGAAGCAGUGCCCUCCAAGUUGGUCCUUCUGAACCCAUCAAUGACAGUGGACAGAAAAGUUGGCCACUGAUUGAACUUCAGAUCUGUCUCGAACAGGGAGCCACUGAUACCUGUGUAGGAACCAGCUCCAUCACCCGGCAUCCCAGCCAGACCCACCACUGCAAAUGUUCCUACAUUUUGCUAUUGCAUAGAAUUUCCCUUUGGGGAUUAUAAAUAUACCUUCUUGCUUAGGUUUUUACUAGAAAAAAGAGAGAGAAGCAAAACAGCAAAGCAAAGCUCAAACCCCACCAGGCUGUGUCACAAAUCUGUGUAUAAUGUUCUCCUGUUGCUCAAGGAAACACCCCCACAAAGGAGUUUUG